rnacentral:rRNA from 1 species
UACGGAGGGUGCAAGCGUUGUUCGGAAUCACUGGGCGUAAAGGGCGUGUAGGCGGUCCGCUAAGUCUGAUGUGAAAGCCCGGGGCUCACCCCCGGAAGGGCAUUGGAAACUGGCGGACUCGAGUCUCGGAGAGGAAGGUGGAAUUCCUGGUGCAGCGGUGAAAUGCGUAGAUAUUCGGAAGAACACCAGUGGCGAAGGCGACUAACUGGACAUGUAUUGACGCUGAGGUACGAAAGCGUGGGGAGCAAACAGG